AGUUGCCGGCGGUGUAGAGUAGGAAUGGAUUCGCUCUACGUGGGGCACCAGGGACCUUGGGACCAGGGAAGGUCAGCAGACAGGGCCGAGCUCCCCGGACGUGUUUCUGGGCAGAGGAGGGCCGGUGGGUGGAGCCAGCCCCGGGAGGCGCAGACCUGCAGCGGCGGGGUGGCUCGGGGCCUCCGGGCGGUAGAGGGCGGCCUCGCCUGCGGCAGCGGCUCUCGGAGUCCAGCUCCGCGCCUUCCGGGCGACCCGGUGACCUCGGACGGCGGGCCGCGUCGGCCGGGCAUGGCGGCUUGGAGCCCGGCCGCGGCGGCGCCUAUGCUCCGCGGGACGCGCGGGGUUCUGUCCUCAGAAGAGGUCCAGCCCACCCCAAUCUUACCUAGGCCCGCAACAUCAAGUUUCUGCCUCUCUGCAGAACCCUCAGACAGCCUCAACCCGGGUCUUUCUCCUGACCUGCAUUUCAGCUGCCUGCUGGAAAACAGACUUCUUUGCAGCUUCCUCUUCUCCACUGUGCCCAGCGGAUGUUUGCCUCGCAGACUGAGGGGGAACUCAGAGUGACCCAAAUUCUCAAAGAAAAGUUUCCUCAAGCCACAGCUAUCAAAGUCACCGACAUUUCAGGAGGCUGUGGAGCAAUGUAUGAAAUCAAAAUCGAGUCAGAAGAAUUUAAGGAGAAGAGAACUGUUCAGCAGCACCAGAUGGUAAAUCAGGUCAGUAAAGGCACUAAAAGAAGAAAUCAAAGGGAUGCAUGGAUUACGGAUAUUUACCUCCAUCCCCAAACACUGACCACGCCCUGGCUGUAUAGAUGCUGCUUUACGACCUUGGACAAACUUGAUGGACACAGUUCCUCCCCAGGCAUUUGCCAAAAACUUGCCUAUUUUGUUCAUAGACAUUUCCAUAUUAUAAUUAUAGAAGAAUAUGUUCUUUAUUUAGGUAUUAAAGGCAACAGCUUUUGAA